rnacentral:rRNA from 1 species
UAAUACCGGAUAGAUCAAAGAUACUGGAAUGUUCCUUGAUCCAAAGCUCCGGCGUCCAAGGAUGGAUCUGCGGCUUAUCAGGUAGUAGUGGGUGUAACGUACCUACUAGCCUACGACGAGUACGGGUUGUGAGAGCAAGAGCCCGGAGAUGGAUUCUGAGACAUGAAUCCAGGCCCUACGGGGCGCAGCAGGCGCGAAAUCUUUACAAUGCAGGAAACUGCGAUAAGGGGACCCCGAGUGCCAGCAUCUAAUGCUGGCUGUCCAGCUGUGUAAAUAGCAGUUGUUAGCAAGGGCCGGGCAAGGCCGGUGCCAGCCGCCGCGGUAACACCGGCGGCCCGAGUGGUAACCGAUUUUAUUGGGUUUAAAGGGUCCGUAGCCGGCCUGUUAAGUCUCUUGGGAAAUCUGGCGGCUCAAUCGUCAGGCGUUC